UACGUAGGCAGCGAGCGUUGUUCGGAAUUACUGGGCGUAAAGAGUGUGUAGGCGGUGCUCCCAGUCUGUUGUGAAAUCUCCCGGCUUAACUGGGAGGGUGCAGCGGAAACUAGAGUGCUAGAGGGUGGGAGAGGUAAGCGGAAUUCCUGGUGUAGCGGUGAAAUGCGUAGAUAUCAGGAGGAACACCGGUGGCGAAGGCGGGUCUCUGGGCCGGUACUGACGCUGAGGCGCGAAAGCGUGGGGGAGCAAACAGG
rnacentral:rRNA from 1 species